AAUUAUUCAAAGAAGGCCUUGUCAAAAGUCCUGUCUACCAAAGCAGGAAUUGCACAGUGUCAUUGGAAAAUAAGCUGAGAAAUUAACACUGCUUUCUGAAAUGCAAUGCUAGAAUUUUGAUGUUUUGAUUUUUAUUUAUUUAUUUUUUAAGAUUACAUGUAGCACUUGUCAUGCCCUGCCAGAGCAUGUACCAUACUGGUCUUCUCCUUUUGGACCUGCCCCAUCCAUUGCCAUUUUAUCCUGGAGCAAGAGUCUCAAACACUGAGGGAUAAGAAGAGCGUGUAGUGAGACUUUCCAUAGACCUAGCCAUCUGUUUCUUGGGUGAGCCAGACACAUAUGAAUUCACAGGGAAGUAACCCUGUGGAAUUCAUGAGAAAACAGAAAACAAUUCUAAAAACUGACUAGGAAACCACAAGUUAAACAGGCAGAUUACAUCAGACAGAAGCUUGCAAUAUACAUACCGUAAGGAAUGAAAAAGGAACAAACUGCUUUAUUGUUCAGUGUACUAACACACAAAAGUAUCUGCACAACAGGUGCUUUUUAGUCCUUUUUUUUUUUUUUUUUUUUUUUUUUCUGACAGAAGGAGCAACACCAGGACAAGAGGUUUACUUUACAGGGACCCUCUCUUAUCUUGACCUUAUGUAGCCCAUUACUAGUAAUAUCUGUAAGACAUAUCCAUAAAUAUAUAUAUAUAUAUAUAUAUACACAUAUAUAUAUAUUCAAUUCCAUGAUGAGUAAUACCAUUUAUAACAAAAGGUGGUGGUUAAACUGACAAACAUCCAGAAAUAUAAAGGGUGUUCACAAACACUAGCAGGGACAGGAAGUCUGGAUAGCUAGAGAAAACAGGAUCGUUACCUGUCACAAACAAUGAGGGAAUAUUCCAGAAGGAGAAAACGGGCUGCAAGCUACUACUUGUGGCAUCUGAACCACUUCAUCUGGUUUAUCACUGAGGUUAAGAAUCACUGUGUUUCCCUGGAAAAAGCUGAGGGACCAAACCAGGCAGUGAAAGAUAAAGCCAGUAGGUUCACAAGUAUUCCCAAGAGAAAAUGAUAGGCAAUGAUCCCAAAGCUCUCUAGGCUGCAACCACGUGCCUUGUCAAAAGAAGACAAGGCUUGGGAAAAGGAAGUGAAUUAAAAAUACAAGCACCCUGAAGGAUUACUCCUGUAGUUCUUGUUUGGAGAGCUAACAUUUCAGAGCAAACCACCAUUCCUCAGUUUAACGAAGACUAGGAAGGAUCUGGAAACACUGAUUGCCAUAGAAGGGCUGAACAUAGAGAGAGAAAUUGUGAAAAGCAACAGGGGAAAUCACAAGGUGCUACAUCAUGUAAGAGUUACAAAUAUUCAAGUGUCCUCCUUUUGCACUUGGAGUCUCCAGGCGACAAACUGAAGACAGAGGUCCUAGCACUGAUCCCAGAAUAGCCCAUGUGCUGCCCCUGAUGUGACUCAAGGUAUUGGAGCAUCAUUUAUGCAGAACAGUCUUUCACUGAAUCCAAAUCUUCAGUUAUAACAGAUGUGCUUUUUAUAGUUGAAUCUUAAAAACAAACAAACAAACAAAAACACAUUGACCAAAGCAAUUAUAUAACUGCUCAGGGAUGUGAGCAUUCAAGAUGCCUUACAAUAAUCUGCAUCUAAUUUGGUAAUAAAAUUCUCAGAGAGCUUCAGCAAGUGGAUAGAUUACAGACAUAAAAACAACAAAUCAAAGAAGAGGUUCUAUUACCUCUUCUUAGCUCAUUAGAAUUUAUACCUUAAGAAAUUAAAAGAAAAAAUGAACUGAUAAACCCUCUGGUUCUCUAUGUCAGAAUUUCCUGUGUGUCUCUGAAAGUCGAAUUUUGCAAGCAGCUUUAGGUCUGAGUUUCAGAAGGAAGUUGAAAUCAUGGAAAAUACCUAGAGGUAGAAAAGUACAAUGUGUUUUAUAAUGAUUACAGGAAAAAAAAUCUGUUAUCUAGGAUUCCUAGGUUUGAUUCCUGAUUUUAUCAGAGACUGGCUAAAGACACAUCCAGCUUAGAUGUUUCAACAGCUAAAUAGUUAGAUGCUUGGCCACAGCAAGAUGAUUCAGAGUGCCAGUUAGGAACCUGUCUCCUUUAGUCACUCAGCAAAGAGAUUUUUUUGGGGAUAUGUGUAUUGCCAGGCUCCAAAAAUAGUCACUGGAGACUGAUAGGCUGCUCUUGAGGAUGACUCAGAGCAAAAGCAUUAGACAGUUAUUCCUGUAAUCACACUCUGGAGGAGCCCAACUCUCAUUGUCUAUUAGAGACAAAGCACAUAAGUAUCGCUGAGUUACCUGGCCCCAGCACAGUCCAAGGGGAACCAAACUCUCCCCUUCUGUGGAAGCCCGGGCAGCCAAGGACAUUGCCAUGUCAGAUGCAGGCUUGAACUUCCCCUUGAGCCUCCACUGCCCUGGAUGCCCAGAUGGCCUCUCUGCUGGCUGCAGCUGACACAAGCAGGGGACAAGCCUGCUCUCUGCACAGGGCCACCAGGAAAAGAAAUGUGACUCCGCUCUGGAUCUGAGCUACGGCUCCAUGGCUGACAGGAGUGGGCUUGAUCUGAAACAUCUGACCCAGGAAGGGUCAUUCCAGCCUGGGUACCCAGAAUGGAGCAGGCAGGAAUUAUGGGGCCAUAGAGAGUAAGCCAAAGGAUAGCUUAGCUAGCAUGGCACUCACUGUAGCAGUCAUGAACCUCAAUGAGUUUCCACUUAUGCAGGUUUCUGACAUGCAUCUGGUUUUGUGAAACUCCUCCCAAGAGCAGAAGCAGGCAUUUCAAGACUAGACUGUGACUCGGUACAACAAAGCAGUCCUAGGAGCUGCCCAGGGAUGCAGUGCUUUGCUAGUGCCAUAGGCUUCACAACCAGAGUAACUACAGCUGCACCCACGCAGACCAAGAAGUGCUGGCCUGUGCUUCUCCAAGAGCUGCACUGCUUGAGCUGCACCACGCCAGGAGAAUGGAUGAAGUUGGUGCAAGCCUCUGUGAUCACACUGUCUGUCUCUCUCUGCAAAUGCUUGCUAUGUCCAAAUAUGAAGAAAUAUUUCUGUUGCCAUAUUGUUCAUUUUCAAAGGUUACACAGAUUUGCACAGAACAUAUUUUCAGUGCUCUGAAUGUGUUGAAGGGGCUAAAUUUGCGUAUUUUUGUUUCUAGAAUAAACUAUUCACAGUCUUAUGGAUCUCAACAUUUAAGAAUCUUUUUUUUUCCAUUUAUGAAAUCAGUAAACUUUUCUUGUUUUCAUUUUCUUAUGCACCAUAGCUUUACACAUUAAUUUUUGAUUUAUUAGCACCCUUAGCUGUUAACUCUUUAAAACUGAGUUACAGAAACAAAAUCACUUUCUGAGUAGUAAGUCCUUAUAGACUGUGGAAAACUGUUGAUAACAGUAUAGCAGUACUGAUGUAAAUAUAUAUAUACAGUAUUUUCUGUGUGGUUAGACUACAGUCCAGAAAUCUCUCAGUGUAGUCUCUUUCAAAGGUACAUGCCCCCCC